rnacentral:rRNA from 1 species
UACGGAGGGUGCAAGCGUUAUCCGGAUUCACUGGGUUUAAAGGGUGCGUAGGUGGGCAGGUAAGUCAGUGGUGAAAUCUCCGAGCUUAACUCGGAAACUGCCGUUGAUACUAUUUGUCUUGAAUAUUGUGGAGGUAAGCGGAAUAUGUCAUGUAGCGGUGAAAUGCUUAGAUAUGACAUAGAACACCAAUUGCGAAGGCAGCUUGCUAAACAAAUAUUGACGCUGAGGCACGAAAGCGUGGGGAUCAAACAGG